GCCAGGCCUGGUGGCACAUGCCUGUAAUCCUAGCUACUCCAGGGGCUGAGGUGGGAGGAUUACUUGAGCCCAGGAGUUCUGGGCUGCAGUGAGACAUGAUCUCACCACUGCACUCCAGCCUGGGCAACAGAGUGAGACCUUGUCUCUA
rfam:Pongo abelii chromosome 3.